UAAGUCAAGAAGCUAAUAAGCACAAUUCAAGUUAAGGUGUCAAUUUUCUGAAAACUCAUCUUCUUCCUACUCUCAUCAUUUCUAUCAUACAUUUCUACCAUAUCCUUCCAUAGAGAAAAGGCAUAACCACAUCCCAUAUCCUAACAUGGGGUUUCCAGAUUUAUUCUUGACUUUGACUUGUAACCCCCAAUGGCCAGAAACUCAUAGAUUAUUGUCUCC
rnacentral:lncRNA from 1 species